GCUGUCGCGGGCUAGAAACAGAAAAAGAAAGAGGGAAAAGGAGAUUGCAUGUCAAGAGAUACGACAGCAGCUUAAUAAGUGGAUGGUGAAAGGCAACAGGUGUGAGGAUGGUGGAUCAGGAAAGACAGGGGAAGGCAACAGUGGAGAAGAACACAGGCAAGGGGUAAAAGAGACUGACAUGAUGUCGGCGAUGGCAUCAAGUAUAGAGGAGACCAGUGAUGACAUCAGGUAGGAGUUAUAUUAGUUAGACUACACAAAACUAAAUGUCCAGUAUGGUUUGAAGUUAUGUUGACCAACCUAUUCACUGUGUCCUUUUUGGGUAAAAAUUAGUGCAGACAGAUAUGGAAAGCCACUCACCACUGAGGAGGAAUUGGAGUAGAAUGUGGAAAAGGGAGGUGAA